GUGGGGAAUAUUGCACAAUGGGCGCAAGCCUGAUGCAGCAACGCCGCGUGGGGGAUGACGGCCUUCGGGUUGUAAACCUCUUUUAGUAGGGAAGAAGCGAAAGUGACGGUACCUGCAGAAAAAGCACCGGCUAACUACGUGCCAGCAGCCGCGGUAAUACGUAGGGUGCAAGCGUUGUCCGGAAUUAUUGGGCGUAAAGAGCUCGUAGGCGGUUUGUCGCGUCUGCUGUGAAAUCCCGAGGCUCAACCUCGGGCCUGCAGUGGGUACGGGCAGACUAGAGUGCGGUAGGGGAGAUUGGAAUUCCUGGUGUAGCGGUGGAAUGCGCAGAUAUCAGGAGGAACACCGAUGGCGAAGGCAGAUCUCUGGGCCGCUACUGACGCUGAGGAGCGAAAGCAUGGGGAGCGAACAGGAUUAGAUACCCUGGUAGUCC
rnacentral:rRNA from 1 species